AUGGUUGGACGAGAUAUUAACUGUUUCAUUUAAAAUUUUUGUAGAAUUUUAUUUUUUAGUCAAAAAGCUAAAAUUUAUUUAAAAGACGAGAAGACCCUAUAAAUCUUUAUAUUUUUUUUUAUUUUAAUUAUAAAGAUUAAUUAAAUUUUAAUAAAAAAAAAUAUUUUAUUGGGGUGAUAUUAAAAUUUAAAAAACUUUUAAUUUUUAAAAACAUUAAUUUAUGAAUAAAUGAUCCAUUAAUAAUGAUUAAAAAAUUAAGUUACUUUAGGGAUAACAGCGUAAUUUUUUUGGAGAGUUCAUAUCGAUAAAAAAGAUUGCGACCUCGAUGUUGGAUUAAGAUAUAAUUUUGGAUGUAGCCGUUCAAAUUUUAAGUCUGUUCGACUUUUAAAUUCUUACAUGAUCUGAGUUCAAACCGGUGUAAGCCAGGUUGGUUUCUAUCUUUAAAAAAUUGUGAUAUUUUAGUACGAAAGGACCAAAUAUUAAAAUAAUUAUAUUUUUUAUAAGAAUAUUAUUAAUGU
rnacentral:rRNA from 1 species